UUCAUAAAAUUUAAGUUCUAUAAUAUAUGUAUAUAUAUAUAUAUUAUAUUAAUUAUU
rnacentral:tRNA from 1 species